rnacentral:tRNA from 1 species
CGGAGUGUAGCGCAGCCUGGUAGCGCAUAUGGUUUGGGACCAUAGGGCCGGGGGUUCAAAUCCCUCUACUCCGACCA